AAAAAAGUCACCUUUAAAGAAAAAAGAAAAAGAAACAGUUGAAGAACUGCAGAGUGUAUCCUUGGAUAUAUUAUAUUCCCUGAGGGUCCUCUCCUUCCAUGUUCCUUCUUUUCGUUCUUUCUUUAGAUAAUUUAGACAAUUACAUUACUCAAAAAUGCAACACAAGUGCGUAUAUUACCAAAUUACAUAAUAGUAGACUACCGAGUAUGUUAGGCGU
rnacentral:misc_RNA from 1 species